CAAGUACUUCCUCCGUCCGAAAAUACUUGUCAUCAAAAUGGAUAAAAGGGGAUGUAUCUAGAUGUAUUUUAGUCGUAGAUACAUCUCUUUUUAUCCAUUUUAAUGACAAGUAUUUUUAGACGGAGGGAGUAAUUC
rfam:Triticum aestivum genome assembly, contig: Triticum_aestivum_CS42_TGACv1_scaffold_062947_1DL